ACCCUCCAGAUUCCUUCCCCAUCAGAUCAAGCCAUUGCUCCAAAUGGCUAUAAAAGGAGAAAAAGUAAAGCUGAAAUGGACUUAGAAAAAAGA
rnacentral:snoRNA from 1 species